UUGCGCAUGAUCCUAUAGCCAAGGCUCUCAUAGAGUAUGCCCAGCAAGGUAAGACUAGGCAGUUUUGGUUACAAGAUGGUUUGCUAUACACCAGGGGCAGUAGACUGUUUGUGCCGUAGCACGGGAAGCUCCGUAAGGAAGUUUUACAAGAAUGUCAUGAUUUAAGGUGGGCUAAACACCUAGGAGUGAGCCUACUGUGGUGAUGACAGGUAAUAAAGAAUUAGGGUUCAAUCCUAGAGGGAGCUUGAGAAAUGGCUACCAUAUCCAAGGAAAGAAGUAGUCACACAAAUUACCCAAUCCUAACACGAAAAGGUAGUGACAAUAAAUAAGACUAUCGGGCACUAUAAUUCUUGUAACUAGAAUGAGUACAACCUAAAUCUCUUAAUGAGUAUCCAUUUGAGGGCAAGUCUAGUGCCAACAAUCACAAUAAUUCUAGCUCUGAUAGUGUAUAUUUAAGUUGUUACAGUUAAAAAGCUCAUAGUUAGAACUAGGGUUAGGUCUUCCGAUCUACCUUAUGGUGAGCAUCAAUCUACUCAUCCCUACCAUCAGUAAUGCACUCCUAGCCUUAACUAUUCGGGUCAUUCCUCUAACGCUGUUACUUUGAAAAAAUUAGAGUGCUAAAAAUAGGCCUACCUUAUAUAGAUUAGCAUGGGAUAACAUCAUAGGAUUUCAAUCCUAUUGUGUUGGCCUUCGGGAUCAGAGUAAUGAUUAAUAGGGAUAGUUAACGGUAUUCAUAUUUCAUAGUCAGAGCUAAAAUUCUUGGAUUUAUGAAAGAUGAACAAUUGCAAAAGCAUUUGCCAAGUUGUUUCCAUUAAUCAAUAAUGAAAGUUGGGGCUUCGAAGACAAUUAGAUGCCAUCCUAGUCUCAAACAUAAAUGAUGCCAACCAAGGAUCGAUGGAUGUUGCUUUUAGGACUUCAUCAACACCUUAUGAGAAAUUAAAGUCUUUGGGUUCUAGGGGGAGUAUGGUCGCAAGGCUAAAACUUAAAGGAAUUGAGGGAAAUGCACCACCAGGAGUAAAGCUUAUGGCUUAAUUUGACUUAACACAAAGAAAUUUACCAAUUCUAAACAUAGUAAGGAUUGAUAGACUAAGAGCUCUUUCUUGAUUCUAUAGGUGGUGGUGCAUGGUUGUUCUUAGUUGGUGGAGUGAUUUUUUUGGUUAAUUUUGUUAACAAAUGAGACCUCAGCGUGCUAACUAGCUAUACGAAGGUGAUCCUUCCUGGCUAGCUUCUUAAAGGGACUAUGGCUGCUUAGGUCAAGGAAGUUAGAGGUAAUAAUAGGUAUGUAUGUAAUACCCUUAGAUGUUCUAGGCCACACGCAUGCUACAUUGAUGUAGUUAACAAGUCGAUAGCUUUGGCUGAUAGGCUUGGGUUAUCUUUGAAAUUUCAUUAUGAUAGGGAUAGAUCAUUCAAAUUGUUGGUCUUCAACAAGGAAUUCCUAGUAAGUGUGAGUCAUCUGCUUGCUUUGAUUAUGUUCCUACACUUUGUACAUUCUACCUAUUGCUCUUAUUGAUUGAAUGGUCUAGAAAAGUGUUCGGAUCAUGACAAAGUAGAUGUGUCACUUCCUAUAACAUCAUGAGAAGUCCAUUAAACCUUAUCAUUUAGAGGAAGAAGAAGUCAUAACAAGCUUUUCGAAGGUGAACCUGCUAAAG
rnacentral:rRNA from 1 species